CACGGCCCGAUCCAUACUCACAGCCCGGAGAGCCGAGGCCUGAGUACAGGCCCUCAGCAAAUUCCUCAGCAGCAGCCGAGCAACUCCAUUCAUUGCGGCCUGCGCAUCUCCAGGCCCGAGGUUGGAGAAGCAUACCAAUGUUUUUAGAACACAGACUGCAACAUUCCACAAAACGGUUACCUGAUCAGUGCAGGAGCUCAGCUUAACUGGCCACAGCAAAUGUAAAAAGAUAAAUAUACUAAAGAGGGGUUUGAAGGGGUUUGUCCCUGAACUACGCAAAUGCAGAUUUUACUAACAAAAGGGACAGUUUUAAAAAUAUUUUAUUGCAAUAAAGAAGGGUAUGUGUAUGGGGCUAAUAUUUAAAAAAAUCUUAUUAAUAAAAUUAUAUUUUAAUACAAA